CACCAACCAACUGAGCCACCCAGGUGCCCUGUCAAUUAUCAUUUGUGAUGUGACCAGGGAAGGUAGAUCCCACUUCAGGGGAUUAAUUAUAACUAAUCUCAACCAGUCAUUUUGACUCCUUUUCUCUUUGCCAGUCAUUAGUUUAGGUGUGGGCAUAUGACCCAGCUCUGGCCAACGAGCUGGAAGAGAGGGUCUACUGGAGUGUUUUUAAAAGAUUUUCUUCCCUGAUUAAGAGAGAGAGUUAAUCUAUGUAAAGAGGGCUUUUUUCCCCUCGAUUCUUUUCUUUCCUGUUUGGUAUGCUGUAGAAUGAAAACUUAAUGUCAAGGCUAUGACAGUCAACUUAAAAUCAUGAUGAAAAGCCAGUCCACUGAGAAUGGCAAAGAAGAAGGAAACAAGGCCUGGAUCCUUGAGGACAUUAUUGACUUUUGAGCUAGCCCAGGAACCACCCAUUUUCAGAAUAUCAUGUGUCCCUUCAUUUUUUAGCAACACCUUCCCCUUUCCUUUGAGGAAAAGGAGUCUAUGUGGUGCUGGGGGAACUUGCUGGCUCUCUUGUUGGCUCUGUGUGCCUCUGGUGACUCCAUGUGGUGCUGGUCGAAUUGUCUAAUCACAGUGUCCUGCCUUCUGCCACACGAAUGAGUGGGGCAUAGGAGUCUGCAUUGGACCCAUCCGAAUCCUUGCCUAGAAUAUGAAAAGUGAGGAUGGAGGAAUAGCCUCUCUCCCCUUGGACUGCAAACUAUAAAGAUGUGAUUCCAGAGGUGUUUGAGGGUCAUUUCCCUGUGCAUAAGGUCAGGGAGAGAGAAUCAAAGGGAGUUCUGACAAUACCGUUUGCGUCCCUGGAUACAGGUGUGCCUGAAGCUGUACCCCUGUCCUUUCCAAUGACAUUAGCGAAUAAAUCCCCUCUUUAGCUA